UUUAAAUUGAGAGUUUGAUCCUGGCUCAGGAUGAACGCUGGUGGCGUGCCUAAUACAUGCAAGUCGUACGCUAGCCGCUGAAUUGAUCCUUCGGGUGAAGUGAGGCAAUGACUAGAGUGGCGAACUGGUGAGUAACACGUAAGAAACCUGCMCUUUAGUGGGGGAUAACAUUUGGAAACAGAUGCUAAUACCGCGUAACAACAAAUCACACAUGUGAUCUGUUUGAAAG
rnacentral:rRNA from 1 species